rnacentral:rRNA from 1 species
AGAGAGAGACAUGCGCGCAUAUCAAUAAGCGGAGGAAAAGAAACUAACAAGGAUUCCCUUAGUAACGGCGAGUGAAGCGGGAAGAGCUCAAAUUUGAAAUCUUCAAGGUUCUACCUUGACGAAUUGUAGUUUAUAGAGGUGUUUUCUGUUAGUGGAGUGGCAAAAGUUCUUUGGAAUAGGACAUCAUAGAGGGUGAGAAUCCCGUAUUUGGUCAUUCCUCCUAGCGUUGUGAUACACUUUCAACGAGUCGGGUUGUUUGGGAAUGCAGUCCAAAAUGGGUGGUAAAUUUCAUCUAAAGCUAAAUAUUGGCGAGAGACCGAUAGCGAACAAGUACCGUGAGGGAAAGAUGAAAAGAACUUUGAAAAGAGAGUUAAACAGUACGUGAAAUUGUCAAAAGGGAAGCGUUUGACACCAGUGUUGUUUUUCCGAAAAUCAAUUACGAAUGUUUUGUUUUUGAGGAGUUAUGACUUCAUCGGCUUGCUCCUUUCUUUACGAAACUUUCUUAAUGCACUUUUCGGUUAACAAGUCAACAUCAAUUUCUUUUGUUGUAAAAGGGUAUGAGGAAGGUGGCUUUCUUUUCGGAGAAAGUGUUUAUAGCCUUGUGCCUCUGCAAUCGGAGAGAUUGAGGUCUGCAGCGUAGAUCCUUCGGGGUUAGAUACGUUUGUGCUAAGUUAUAGGCUUUCAUAGACAACUUGUUGACUAUGUUUAGUCUUGUAGCUUACUCGCUGACGCUAUUUUACCUACGCUUAGGAUGUUGAUAGUCACAGCGUGUAC